ACAGUCACACAUUAGAUACCCGGGUAGUCCCAGCCGUAAACUAUGCGCGUUAGGUGUAUCGGUGACCACGAGUCACCGAGGUGCCGAAGGGAAACCGUGAAACGUGCCGCCUGGGAAGUACGGUCGCAAGGCUGAAACUUAAAGGAAUUGGCGGGGGAGCACAACAACGGGUGGAGCCUGCGGUUUAAUUGGACUCAACGCCGGACAACUCACCGGGGACGACAGCAAUAUGUAGGCCAGGCUGAAGACCUUGCCUGAAUCGCUG
rnacentral:rRNA from 1 species